rnacentral:rRNA from 1 species
AUCGAACGCUGGCGGCAGGCUUAACACAUGCAAGUCAAGCGGUAACAGAGAGAAGCUUGCUUUUCUGCUGACGAGCGGCGGACGGGUGAGUAGUGCCUAGGAAUCUGCCUAGUAGUGGGGGAUAACUUGCCGAAAGGUAAGCUAAUACCGCAUACGUCCUACGGGAGAAAGGAGGGGACCUUCGGGCCUUUCGCUAUUAGAUGAGCCUAGGUCGGAUUAGUUAGUUGGUGAGGUAAUGGCUCACCAAGACCGCGAUCCGUAACUGGUCUGAGAGGAUGAUCAGUCACACUGGAACUGAGACACGGUCCAGACUCCUACGGGAGGCAGCAGUGGGGAAUAUUGGACAAUGGGGGGAACCCUGAUCCAGCCAUGCCGCGUGUGUGAAGAAGGUCUUAGGAUUGUAAAGCACUUUAAGUUGGGAGGAAGAGCAGUUAACUAAUAUUUGACUGUUUUGACGUUACCGACAGAAUAAGCACCGGCUAACUUCGUGCCAGCCGCCGCAGUAACAC